rnacentral:rRNA from 1 species
GACGAACGCUGGCGGCAGGCCUAACACAUGCAAGUCGAACGGCAGCACGGCAGUAGCAAUACUGUGGGUGGCGAGUGGCGGACGGGUGAGGAAUACAUCGGGAUCUACCCUGUUGUGGGGGAUAACGUAGGGAAACUUACGCUAAUACCGCAUAAGAACUGAGGUUGAAAGCGGCGGACCGCAAGGCGUCGCGCGAUUGGAUGAACCGAUGUCCGAUUAGCUAGUUGGCGGGGUAAAGGCCCACCAAGGCGACGAUCGGUAGCUGGUCUGAGAGGACGACCAGCCACACUGGAACUGAGACACGGUCCAGACUCCUACGGGAGGCAGCAGUGGGGGAAUAUUGGGACAAUGGGCGCAAGCCUGAUCCAGCCAUGCCGCGUGGGUGAAGAAGGCC